rnacentral:lncRNA from 1 species
CCUCUUCUCCCCCCCACCUCUUCCUCCCUCAACAGGCAGCCGCUACAGCCUUGCUCUUCUCCCUAGCCCUUCCUGCUCCCCAUACUCGCCUACCUACCCUAGCCACUGCUCCCUACCUCAACUUCCUUUCCAAACUACUGAAUGCUGUCCUCCUUAUCCAGAUACCCAGUAGAGGGAGAGUUUAAAUGGUUUUUCCAUAAACUAUCCUGCUCCCCCUCCCUUCUUCUCCCCACGGGUUCCAAACAGGCAUUGAUCACCCCAGAAUUUCCAGGGAAGACCCCACUGUCCUUUUCUCCCACUCUCUUCUUCCUCACAAGCAGCCUGGAACUGAGGUGGUCCCGAGGACCCCAGGACAAAAGUUGGACUGUGAGAGACCCCACCCUGCCCUCAGGAAUCUCUUUGUCCCCCACUUGGGCUUGCGGAGAGCGACCUGGAGGGGAAAACCCAGACUUCGGACAGAAGGCGGGAGAGCGCCAGGCUGUUUCUACCCGGCAUCUCAUUAACCUUCUUCCCGGGUGAAGACUGUAUGGCCGGUGAAAAUGCAGCUCAGGGCUCUGCCAGAUGCCCACGAACACAGAGUUACUAAGCACGUAAGAGCGGGCUGAAUAGAGGGUUUUCGAGGAGCUUGCCUGUCUUGAAAGGAAUCCGUCUAAAUUCACAAAUCACGGAGGCUAUACCAGUCAGCAGAGCAGGCAUUGAUUGAGCGAAUAAGAGCGCCUUUACUGCCACCUUUUUAGUCAAGGGUCUCACCUACUUUUUCCAAGCACAAAACCUGAGGCUCAACGAAGUCAAGGCAUUUUUUAGCCUAAGGUCAUGGGACAAGUCAAGUACAAGCUGGAAUUCAAGGCAGGUCUCCAUACAUCAAAGCCUCACACAUUUCCUAAGCUUCACCACAGCAGGCUAGGGCUUGGCACUUUGGGAGAGGGACAAAGGAAGGAAGACAGGAUUUGGCUGAGAAAUCACAGUAGGCUUCUGGGAGAGGUUGUGGCCUAGAUGGGCCUUGAAUGUUGAGAAGGAU